UAAUGGGAUAUAAUAAUAGUAACAGAAUAUGAUGAUAAUAAUAUGGCAAUAGAAUAAUAGUAUAAAAUAAUGUUUCAGGGCAUAGGAUAGGAAUAAGGAUGAGAGGAGAAUCCCAAUGUGUCCUGUACCUUUAAGAAACUGAAAGAGCAGGACGAGUGGAAAGCCCUCUUCCUUCCCUCCCUCCUUCCCUUGCCCUGGCUCCAGGAGCCAAUCAGAAGCCUUGGGGGCGAAGUGAGCAUGGCCAGGAAGCAUGGCCUUGUCUCCGGAGGAAGAAACGGCAGCGCAGCAGCAGCCACGGAGGCUGGGGGACAGGCAAGAUGGCUCAAACUAUUGAUCAAAGAAAUAACUACACAGAAGACACCACCAUGCAAACAAUGCCCAGAAGGAAUACUGACAGCAAACGUGGCUAUUUAACUUGCAAUUCAACAAACAAGAAGACAGGAGUGUUUCUUUGAAUUCCAGACUUUAUUCCUCAGACCAAUCAACCAGAAUGCCUAUUUUAUUCCUGCAUAUGUCAUGUGCAAAAAGAUACCCUUAGAUCCUAACCAUGCACUUGAUCAGUAGUUCAAACUAUGUCACAAGAACCUAUAAAAGUCAAGGAAAACAGAACUGUGGGGCACUGAAUACCUGGCUCGCCUUAAAGAAUGUGGUACUCUUGAUUAGAGGGAUAGUAUGGAAGACUGCAACUGAUCUAAGAGGAAUUAAAGGAUUCACU
rnacentral:lncRNA from 11 species